ACUGGAGUUUGAUCCUGGCUCAGGAUGAACGCUAGCGGCAGGCCUAAUACAUGCAAGUCGAACGGUGUAGCAAUACAUAGUGGCGCACGGGUGCGUAACACGUAUGCAACCUACCUUAUACUGGGGGAUAGCCUUUGGAAACGGAGAUUAACUACCCCAUAGUACAUUUAGAUGGCAUCAUUUGAAUGUUAAAGAUUUAUCGGUAUAAGCUGGGCAUGCGUCCAAUUAGUUAGUUGGUGAGGUAACGGCUCACCAAGACUAUGAUUGGUA
rnacentral:rRNA from 1 species